UACGGGGGGGAGCAAGCGUUGUUCGGAUUUACUGGGCGUAAAGCGUGCGCAGGCGGUUUUGUAAGUCUGUCGUGAACGGCCCCGGUCCAACCUGGGAAUUGCGAUGGAGACUGCAAGGCUAGAAUCUGGCAGAGGGGGGGUAGAAUUCCACGUGUAGCAGUGAAAUGCGUAGAGAUGUGGAGGAACACCGAUGGCGAAGGCAGCCCCCCUGGGCUAACACUGACGCUCAUGCACGAAAGCGUGGGGGAGCAAACAGG
rnacentral:rRNA from 1 species